rfam:Salmo salar isolate Sally breed double haploid chromosome ssa14, whole genome shotgun sequence.
UGCAUUCACUACUGUAAUAUGCUCUGGAUAAGAGCGUCUGCUAAAUGACUAAAA